AUCCAACUGACGAGUCUCAAACAGGACGAAACGCGCGUCCUGGAU
rnacentral:hammerhead_ribozyme from 1 species